AUGAUAAGCUGGCCAUUUUGACUAAGCAUUAAGUUAUUACUUUUAUAUUGUAAAUAUUUAUCUUUUUUAUUUCUUUCCUUGCUUACAGGAAAAUUGGUGACUCGUGUGUUACAAACAAUAGUUUUUAAGGGAAACAAUGUGAAAUAAUUUGUAUAGGUAGGUUAUGUAGGCUAAUCAACAUGAUAACAGACACUUUAGAUGAUCCUGGAGCAAAGGCUGUAAUUUGACCUGAACCCAAAUUGGUCUAUAUUUUAAAUAUUGUCUUGAACCAAUAAGUUAAGAGGACUAACCUUUCUGGACGACAUUGCCAUCGACAUCACAGCAGAUGAGAGAGAAAGAGAGACCAGAGUUGUGGACCCUGGAGGCAAUUACCAUACUGCCGUGAUAAUGUUCCUUGGUCUAACCAUAACUUAAGUGAGAACUGAAGCCUACCAGUAAAAUGGGGGCGUUGUAAUUAAUAUCCUCCGACAUUGGAGAAUACAGGGGAGAGGUGUCAGAGGAAGAGGAGAUGGAGGAUGGGGCGAAGUAAAGACUAAGAUUGAAGAGAACUAACUAAUGGCCUGAUGACAGGGUGGAUCGCGAUGGAGGCAUGGAGGUUGGGGGAGAGGAGGCUGAAGAAGUGGAGACAAAUCAGUUUAGAUCCAUUCUGUUGAUUAGUUUAACAUUUAUUUUGAACAUCAGUAUUUAAAUUUUU